UGAUAAGUUACUCAUGCAUUUAAAGUCAGGACAUGGUGUGUGUGUCUGCCUCUCUCCCCCUAGAGAUGCACACACUCCGUGGUACUGAAUCAACAUUUUCAGUCCUAGGGAAAGGCUGCUACGGAGGCAGGGUUGGCUGGCCCCGUGGGGGCUGACAGGGGACCUCCAGAGCUACAAUAUCCCAUGUGGAUGGAGGUAAAUAGGCAAAAUUUCGUUAAUGUUGCCUGGCAAAACUCAGAGCAGCUGCUGGUGGAGAUGGCAGGGGUGGAUCACACCUCACCAGGAGGCUGCUGGAGUCAAAAGGCCUCAUCUCGAUGUUGUCUGUCACAGGGCUUGGCUUUCACAUCCUGAGGUGCCACAUCUCAUGCUCGGUGAGAUGUAUUCUCCAGGCCCUAAAGCAACACUGGCGAGAAGGUGGAGGAACUGCCAGAAGUCCCACAGUAGUUGAAGCACAAAUACAGUGAAAUAAGAGUGUCAGUUCUCCUGUGCUGGAGGAUGAAAAGCAGGCUGGAAAGAAGUCCCUCUCCUGAGGGGAAGGAGUUUACCUCUGCACCUUGUGGAGAACAAGGCAGCACCACGGAACUCCUUGGAAAAUAAAGCAUUGACCAGUCUGUUAUAGUGAAGCAUGGAUGGCCACAACAACCAUGAAGGUUCAGGGGCCUAAGAGUUAGUCUGAGGAUCAAGGGACUCGGAGCUGGGCUUGUUGUUUUGACAGGAGAAAAACCUGUGAAGUUCCUAAAAGCUGAAUUUGGAAACCAAUGGUGGUUUGGUGGUGGGUUUUGAUCAGCUGCACUCUGUGGCUUCUUUUGAUGCUGGAGAUUAAUUUGGUCUUUUCUGGCUUUUGGAGUUCAGAUCACACUUCUGUCUUUUCCUUUUACCCCAUUUUAUAGGGAAAGGAUUUUAAGCAGCUGCAACGUGAGGGGUGGAACUCACUGCCACGGUCCUUCACUGAGAGAGGCCUUGGAGAGCGGCCUCCCCAUUGUCUAGGUACCAUAGCAGAAAAAUUCCAGGACCUCAGCCGAGGGUUCGAAGACAUGCAAUCCCAUUACAUGUCCCAUGAAUACAAGUCACCCCAGCCGGUGCUACCAUAGGCAAGAGGAACUUCUCUCCUUUGCCUCCUGGCAAGGCACAGGAAUGCACGCAGAGGUGACUACGGCCCCUGGAAAACCUCUCACUGGUGUGGGACCAGGUCCAUACACAGUAGGAACCACUCUGUGCCCUAGUGCACACGCAGGUGUUUCAGCUCCAGUAAGGAGAAGAUGGAUGCAGGGAACAAGAGGGUGGAUGGACUGGUACCCAAAGCCUUUCUGUGCUCAGCCAAGGCAGGAGCUGCCAUCACCAACGAGCUGCUGCAGGAGCUCUCCCACUUCCAGAUGUCACUCUUGGCCAGCAGAGACCAGCUCCUCUGGGGACAUCCAGGGCCCCGUGGGCAUGUCCCUGUGUAAGGCCCUGAUGCAUCACUUCCCCAGGAACAUUCUG